rnacentral:sRNA from 1 species
UCGCUCACCGCUACCACCCCCUCACUGU